GGGGGAAUUGACAAGGACCGGGUGUACCUAUUUGGGAAAAGAAAGAAGUUUUAAACCAGCCAAAAAAUUAAGAUAAAUGUAAAGGAAAGCCUAACAUGGAUAUAACUUGCUUAGGCGACGUCCGGGAAAGGAUGUGAACCCUGCAGUUCUCAGCCAAUGAGGAACCAGGGGAGGGAUCCGCGUGCCAGGGAAUAAAUUACUUGCACCCAGUGCCCCAGGUGUGCCUGCCCACAGGACACCCCGUCCUGCAAGACCGUCAUUAGAGCCUCGCUCCGCUGCUCUCUGUCUCCGUGUCCGCUUACUGAGUUUGGGCCGGCUGAAAGGACUCCUCGCCCAGACGCCCCCACCUGAGCCCUUCGCUCACUGCUUCCAGCCCCGGGACCUGGUGUUAUAAAGUCCUGGAAAGAAGAUGGACUCCAGCCCAGCUGGGAAGGCCCCCUACCCGUGCUCCUGGCCACGGAAACCGCAGAGAGGACGGCUGAAGAGGGCUGGACUCAUUACACCAGGAAAAAGAAACUGACGGAGGGAUCUGGGGACACAACAGAGAACUGGCAAGUGUCCCAGGCGGCUAACCAACACUUAAAGCCAAAACUAAAAAGAACCUAAAAAUGUUAACGUUUUUCUUCCUAACUCUAUAUUUUACAGACAAGUCUCAGGGAGCCCUAGAAUGGGAAGGAACUCCUGGUUAUCCCGUCAAGCUGGUGACCAAUAUCACAAAGCCGUCAGGCCCCCAAACCCCACUCCCGUGGGGUGACCCAAACGGCCAAGGACAGCUUCCGGAGGUAGUAAGCGCCUCUGUCCUGAAUGGACGCAUGUUGACAGAUGAACGGGCAGGUGGGCCCCGUGUCCAGGGUGGAGCAGUGCCUGGUGGAAGCGCCUCUGUCCUGAAUGGACGCAUGUUGACAGAUGAACGGGCAGGUGGGCCCCGUGUCCAGGGUGGAGCAGUGCCUGGUGGACUGCCCAGUUUCAAGGGUGGAUGGCCCCUCAUGCAGCAGGGAAACCGUUAACAGGAAAGCCCCGCGUGGCUGUAGGCAUUCCGCCUGAGACUUGCCAGGACAGGCAGCGUAAGCCCCCCUCUUGUUAAUCACACAUAAUCCUUGAGACUUAGGCUCAGACCCUGUGAUUGCUCGUCGUGUUUAUGGACUCGGUGCAGAUGUCACUGGAAUAGAUGCCGUGGGAGGGUUUGGUCUUAAUUUAAUCAAAGACAAGACUUCACCCACAGUGCCACCCCCGAUCCUGAGGGAGAUAAUGAGCCAGAGCUUCCCCGUAAUGACCCUAAACUAGUUACUGGAACAGAGGCAAGGAAUGUGUAACAGACUCUUGAAAUUGAGACAGGUUCUGGAGACACCAAUACCUGGGUAGAAUGGGUCAAAUUUUCAGUAAUCGCUUUGGACAAAAGUGAUUGUUACGCAUGUGCUGCAGGACAGCCACAGGUGCAGGUGGUCCCGUUCCCUCUCGGCUGGGGCACAGCCCCCACUGGGGUGAACUGCACGUUGGCCCUAAGUCAGGACAAGGACGCUUGGGGAGAUGGGACCUGCAAGGGCUUGUCUCCACUCCUUCCUGCACUAAAGAAGUCAGCCCCGAGGGCAACCCCCUCCUUUUCCAUAGGGACGAUGACUCACUCCUCAUGCCUCUCUGGGUAAAAGAAAGGUUUCACAACUCCUGUGGGGAACUUGCUGACUUGUACCCACAUCCUAAAUGUCUCUAAAGAGGGCAACUUCUCGAAAUCACGCAUCCCCGCGCAGAUGUUUGAUGGUACCAUGGAGAGAAACCUGCGUGACUCGUUGUGGUCCGGCUGGGCUGGGACUUGCGCUUCGGUCCAGCUGUCUGCCCCAUUUACCCUGGCAGUUCUCUCCACACCCCAACGGGAAAAAACAUUUCAUAGAAAUCGCAGAGCAUUACAAAGAUCCUUUGAUUCAAAUGUGUACCUUGACUCAACAGGAGUCCCUAAGGGAGUCCCUAAUGAAUUUAAAGCUCAAAACCAAAUAGCUGCAGGGUUUGAAUCAGCACUAUUUCGGUGGUCCACCACCAACAAAAAUGUAGAUUGGAUCAAUUACAUUUACUAUAAUCAAGGGUUUAUUAACUAUACCAGGGAUGCUUGUCAAGGAGAAGCUAGCCAAUUAGAUGCCACCAGCAGGACGGCCUGGAAAAAUAGGACAGCGUUAGGUAUGAUGUCAGCAGAAAAAGGAGGGGUCUGUGUUAUGUUGGGAGGAAAGUAUAUUUUUAUCCCAUAUAAUACUGCCCCUGAUGGUACUAUUACUAAAGCCCUACAGGGACUCACCACUUUAGCUAAUGAAUUACCUGAAAACCCUGGCAUCAGUGACCCUUUUACAGACUGGUUAGAAGGAUGGUGUGGAAAAUGGAAAGGUGGAAAGGUGUGGCCGCCUCUGUUUUAACAUCACUCGUUACAGUUGCCGGAGUUGGAACCGCUGCAGGACGCUGGGUCAUCCCUUGUGUGAGAGGCAGCCAUAAACAAAUACCUAUGACAUACACCCAAAAUAAUCUUACAUUUAGUACAUGUAGUCAAAGAUAAAUUUGACUACAAAGAGGAGAACAAAAAUAUAUUAGAAAAGUUUGAAAAAGGACUGGGUAUGAGCUGAAAUACAUUACUGGGAAUAAAAUCAGAAAUUCUAAAGAAGAGGGGGAACUGUUAGAGAAAGCAUGAAAUCUAAAUGUGAUUUAUUCCCACCAGGAGGUUUAAACGUUUUAGCAGUAAAGUAUUGACAAAAGGCCACGUGGUAAAAUAUAUGCCAGGAAGUUGCUCAGGCUGGGAGUCGGGGGUGGGGGAGAAUUGACAAGGACCAGGUGUACCUAUUUGGGAAAAAUAAGUUUUAAACCUGCCAAUAAAAUUAAGACAAAUGUAAGGGAAAGCCUAACAUGGAUAUAAUGUGCUUAGGUGAUGUCUGGGAAAGGAUGUGAACCCUGUAGUUCUGAGCCAAUGAGGAACCAGGGCAGGGACUCACGUGCUAGGGAACAAAUUACUGGCACCCAGUGCCCCAGGUGUGCCUGCCCACAGGACACCCAAUCCUGCAAGGCCUCCAUUAGAGCCUCGCUCCACUGUUCUCUGUCUCCGUGCCUGCUUACUGAGUGUGGGCCGGUGAGCGUGCUUCUCAAAGCCUCUUUCUUGUAGCAGUCUGCAUUUAAAGUCACUUCAAGUCUGUGGCAUGCUGGUUCAUUUCCCUCCCAGCUUAACUGAGCUGUAGUUGACAAAACUGUAUAUAUUUAAAGUAUACAGUCUGAUAAUUUGAAAUAUGUUUAGUGUGUAACAUGAUUACCACUCAGACCUCACUUAGCUCUUGCAUGUGUGUGAGAGCGCGGAAGAUCUGUUCUCCUGCAAAUUUACAAUAUAGUGUCAUUAACUAGUCUCCGUGCCGUACCUUAGACCCCCAGAACUUACUCGUCCCGUAACUGAGGUCUCGCGCCCUUGCACCAGCAUCUCCCCGUCUCUCCCGUCCCCCACCCCCGGGAGCCUCCUGGCUACUCUCCUUUUACGGUGGCCCCUUUGUUUUCAUCACUGAAGGAAAACACUGUGUGGGGGUUCACUGUGUGUGUGAACUGCAGUUUGCACAUCCAUUCACCUCCUGAAGGACGUCUUCGUUGCUUCCAGUGUUUGGCAAUUACAAAUAAAGCUGCUGUAGACAAUCAUGUGCAGGUUUUAUUGUGUGGACCUAAGAUUUCAGCUCAUUCAGGUAAAUACCUACCCCAU